AGACUUUCAUCUCUUCUGACCAUUGAUAACUACCUGUCUGUCAGUCUGUCUGUCAGUUUGCCAGCCAGUGCAGUCCUACAAGCCAACUGAAUGUGAAACCAAACUGAGUGGUUUUGAACUAUAGCUUGAUGAACAAGCCAGUGAAUGCCUGACUGUCAGCCAGUACAUGUGGUAAAUUCCGCCUUGUUCUGGCAACAAUGUUAAUGGUUACCUUGACGAUGGGAAGUACACACCCCUUGACGACGGCACAACCACCAAGGCAGACAGCUUGAGUACGUCAUGUAUGACAUCGUGUACAGAAUUGAAGGGGAUGAGAGCACAACAGAGGCCGCAUCCAGACUUGCAUGGAGGCUUGCUUUGUUAAUCAACCAUCACAUCCAGUCUGGUCACCAUGGCAGCUGAACAGCCUCAGGCCCCGCCUCCAGCAGCCAUUGGUCAAGAUAGCCGCUUACCAAUUCCAAUCAGCAAUGAGCGUAGUUGAGGGCAACGCAAGACACCUGUCAGCUUUGUUGUUGUACCGGUCAGUGAUCUGGGUGACCCUGUUGGUUCACCAGGGAGUAGCAUCUGGGCUUAUACACCAGGGAGCAGCGGUGACUGGAUCCCAAGUAGCAACUUAGAGGACAUACCAGGCACAGCAGCUAACAGGAUGCCUAACUUCCCCCAUCAAGACACUGUCAAGAGAGGAUGGCUUCCAAAUGAACAAACACCUGUCAGCCAGUUUGCUGAGCAAUGAGCCAAUGUCUGGCAUGCAUCAUAACAUGGCCAUGGGAGAUGUGGGAGGGGUGACAGCUCAUGGAAUGGCAGGAACGUUCUGAAACCUUGUAGACACCAUGCAACUUCAUUGCACCGAUCCAAAGGUGGGUCUUG
rnacentral:lncRNA from 1 species